UACGGGGGGGGCAAGCGUUGUUCGGAAUUACUGGGCGUAAAGGGCUCGUAGGUGGCCAACUAAGUCAGACGUGAAAUCCCCAGGCUCAACUUGGGAACUGCGUCUGAUACUGGAUGGCUUGAAUCCGGGAGAGGGAUGCAGAAUUCCAGGUGUAGCGGUGAAAUGCGUAGAUAUCUGGAGGAAUACCGGUGGCGAAGGCGGCAUCCUGGACCGGCAUUGACACUGAUGAGCGAAAGCCAGGGGAGCAAACGGG
rnacentral:rRNA from 1 species